GUCUUAACCGGGCGUUAAGUUGCAGGGUAUAGACCCGAAACCCGGUGAUCUAGCCAUGGGCAGGUUGAAGGUUGGGUAACACUAACUGGAGGACCGAACCGACUAAUGUUGAAAAAUUAGCGGAUGACCUGUGGCUGGGGGUGAAAGGCCAAUCAAACCGGGAGAUAGCUGGUUCUCCCCGAAAGCUAUUUAGGUAGCGCCUCGUGAAUUCAUCUCCGGGGGUAGAGCACUGUUUCGGCUAGGGGGCCAUCCCGGCUUACCAACCCGAUGCAAACUGCGAAUACCGGAGAAUGUUAUCACGGGAGACACACGGCGGGUGCUAACGUCCGUCGUGAAGAGGGAAACAACCCAGACCGCCAGCUAAGGUCCCAAAGUCAUGGUUAAGUGGGAAACGAUGUGGGAAGGCCCAGACAGCCAGGAUGUUGGCUUAGAAGCAGCCAUCAUUUAAAGAAAGCGUAAUAGCUCACUGGUCGAGUCGGCCUGCGCGGAAGAUGUAACGGGGCUAAACCAUGCACCGAAGCUGCGGCAGCGAACGUAUCACUUAAAGCGAUUCAGCGGAUGACGAUUGACGGAGCGAAGCGACGUCAAAGCGUAUACAAAGUCGAGUCGGUUUAAGGAUACGUUCGUUGGGUAGGGGAGCGUUCUGUAAGCCUGCGAAGGUGGCCUGUGAGGGUUGCUGGAGGUAUCAGAAGUGCGAAUGCUGACAUAAGUAACGAUAAAGCGGGUGAAAAGCCCGCUCGCCGGAAGACCAAGGGUUCCUGUCCAACGUUAAUCGGGGCAGGGUGAGUCGACCCCUAAGGCGAGGCCGAAAGGCGUAGUCGAUGGGAAACGGGUUAAUAUUCCCGUACUUGGUGUUACUGCGAAGGGGGGACGGAGAAGGCUAUGUUGGCCGGGCGACGGUUGUCCCGGUUUAAGCGUGUAGGUGUGUGUUCCAGGUAAAUCCGGUUCACUUUAACACUGAGGCGUGACGACGAGGCACUACGGUGCUGAAGCAACAAAUGCCCUGCUUCCAGGAAAAGCCUCUAAGCAUCAGGUAACAUCAAAUCGUACCCCAAACCGACACAGGUGGUCAGGUAGAGAAUACCAAGGCGCUUGAGAGAACUCGGGUGAAGGAACUAGGCAAAAUGGUGCCGUAACU
rnacentral:rRNA from 1 species